rnacentral:rRNA from 1 species
AUUGAACGCUGGCGGCAUGCCUUACAUAUGCAAGUCGAACGGUAACAGGUCUUCGGAUGCUGACGAGUGGCGAACGGGUGAGUAAUACAUCGGAACGUGCCCGAUCGUGGGGGAUAACGAGGCGAAAGCUUUGCUAAUACCGCAUACGAUCUACGGAUGAAAGCGGGGGAUCUUCGGACCUCGCGCGGACGGAGCGGCCGAUGGCAGAUUAGGUAGUUGGUGGGAUAAAAGCUUACCAAGCCGACGAUCUGUAGCUGGUCUGAGAGGAUGAUCAGCCACACUGGGACUGAGACACGGCCCAGACUCCUACGGGAGGCAGCAGUGGGGAAUUUUGGACAAUGGGCGAAAGCCUGAUCCAGCCAUGCCGCGUGCAGGAUGAAGGCCUUCGGGUUGUAAACUGCUUUUGUACGGAACGAAAAGCCUCUUUCUAAUAAAGAGGGGUCAUGACGGUACCGUAAGAAUAAGCACCGGCUAACUACGUG